GGCUCCAUGGGAAGGGUAUUUUUAUCCUGGCACUGGGCUCUGGCAGGACAUCCCCCCUGCUUUUUCGGCUGGGUGGUUCUUCCACCUCCUAAAUCCUGGGGGAGCCCACACGGCCCACAAAUCCGGCCGGGAGCUGAGGGUGGACAGGGAUGCUCCGCUGUGCCUUCCUCGCCCAGCAUCUACCUCUGCAUCCACCGCUGCUCGUCCAGCCUCCAGCACCCACUGCACUGGCCCAGCCCAACCAUACCUGCCUGCCUCUCACUGCCGGAGCACUGGGAAUGAGGCUUUUCCUUCCUAAACCUGGAGCCUGGCAGGUACUGGCUGCAUCAUCAGCGUCCCCGCGAGCAGUGCUCAGCGGGGACCGAUUGAGUCGGGCACGAGCAGCAGUCAGUCACCUUCAGGGAGACGCUCUCGGCAUCCCGCCUGCCCUGCUCCACUCCUCAGGGCCCUGACACCCCCAACAUCCAAAUCGUGUUCCCAGGAGUCGUUGUUACGGGGUGCUGAUGUUGCCUGUCCUACAAAACAAGAUUUGUGAUUUAAGCCUAAGAGGGGUCCCCAGGCAAGCCCGGGACUCGGAGGCCACCUGGGGUCCUGGAGCCAUCGAGGGACACGAGGCAGCCAAAGCAAGGUUUGACCUUGUUUCCACUUCCCAUCUUCUUUAUUUUUCUGUGUGUGUGGAAAACACGGAGCGGAACAACACGAGCCAUUACGUAAAAUCCUGUUUUCUCCAAUAGAUUUUUGUGGCGGGUGAGGAAGGGCCGGGCUGGGCCAUGAGGGAAGGCAGAAGGGCUGAAGCGAACAACAGGACGAUUUUUGGGGUGUCCCACAGAUAUUCUGAGCCAUGACCUCUUCCCAAGACAGCCUCCCCCCACAUCCCGCCCCUGUGCCGGCUGCUCCGUGCUCAAACCGGCGCAGAGCUUCCCGGGCAGAUGCGACAAGGCACUUCUAUAUCUUUUUACUCUUAUCAUCAUUAUUAUUCAGAGCAGAGAUUAUAUCCCGAGGCUUUAAAGUGCUUUCCCAGCCCGUGCCCUCCCCCGGCCCGUGGCGAGCGCGGGGCCGCGGGGAUGGCUGCGGCAGCCGGCGCGGAUAAUCGCAUCCGCCUUCACGCUCGGCCGCCAGCGCGGCCCAUCCCCGGCCCUCGGGAGCAGGACGAGGCUCUGGAUGCUCCCCUGGGGCUGAUGGAGUCGGGGUGGAUGUGGGUGUCACCUGCACCGGGGUCUUUGGCUGCCCAAAUGUCACCCAGGGAAGGCGUAGCGAUGUGUCUGAACAAUGACGGGGUGCACCGGUUGUUUGGCUUGUAACUGCUCUUACUGGGGUUUUCUCAGGGCCCUCUAGAAUUCAUCAAGGUUACUAAGACAUAAACUGUGCUAAAAUAAGGAAGAAGAAAAGAAACUGAAUUCCAAGACCACAAGAAAGAGGUGGUGGAGAGCUGUGAGCCACCUGGACCAUUACCAAUCAUAUUCUGGGAAGUGCAUGCAGAACGUGUGGACGAGCAGAGGCACCAAUAAGAAAUGCGUGGUCAGCGUGCACGGUAGAGUUAAAAUGUAUAAAUAAGCACAUAAUAUAAACAAUA